rnacentral:rRNA from 1 species
CCUACGGGGGGCUGCAGUGGGGAAUAUUGGACAAUGGGCGAAAGCCUGAUCCAGCCAUGCCGCGUGUGUGAAGAAGGCCUUCGGGUUGUAAAGCACUUUCAGUGGGGAAGAAAGCCUUGGGGCUAAUACCCUCGAGGAAGGACAUCACCCACAGAAGAAGCACCGGCUAACUCCGUGCCAGCAGCCGCGGUAAUACGGAGGGUGCGAGCGUUAAUCGGAAUUACUGGGCGUAAAGCGCGCGUAGGCGGUCUGAUAAGCCGGUUGUGAAAGCCCCGGGCUCAACCUGGGAACGGCAUCCGGAACUGGCAGGCUAGAGUGCAGGAGAGGAAGGUAGAAUUCCCGGUGUAGCGGUGAAAUGCGUAGAGAUCGGGAGGAAUACCAGUGGCGAAGGCGGCCUUCUGGACUGACACUGACGCUGAGGUGCGAAAGCGUGGGUAGCAAACAGGAUUAGAUACCCGAGUAGUC